rnacentral:rRNA from 1 species
CGAAGGGUGCAAGCGCUACUCGGAAUUACUGGGCGUAAAGCGUGCGUAGGUGGUUUGUUAAGUCUGAUGUGAAAGCCCUGGGCUCAACCUGGGAAUGGCAUUGGAUACUGGCGAGCUAGAGUGCGGUAGAGGGCAGUGGAAUUCCCGGUGUAGCAGUGAAAUGCGUAGAGAUCGGGAGGAACAUCUGUGGCGAAGGCGACUGCCUGGACCAGCACUGACACUGAGGCACGAAAGCGUGGGGAGCAAACAGGAUUAGAUACCCUGGUAGUCCACGCCCUAAACGAUGCGAACUGGAUGUUGGGUGCAAUUAGGCACUCAGUAUCGAAGCUAACGCGUUAAGUUCGCCGCCUGGGGAGUACGGUCGCAAGACU